rnacentral:rRNA from 1 species
CUCUAAGAUGACUGCCGGUGACAAACCGGAGGAAGGUGGGGAUGACGUCAAAUCAUCAUGCCCCUUAUGACCUGGGCUACACACGUACUACAAUGGCCGGUACAACGGGAAGCGAAGGAGCGAUCCGGAGCGAAUCCUAAGAAGCCGGUCUCAGUUCGGAUUGCAGGCUGCAACCCGCCUGCAUGAAGUCGGAAUUGCUAGUAAUCGCGGAUCAGCAUGCCGCGGUGAAUACGUUCCCGGGUCUUGUACACACCGCCCGUCACACCACGAGAGUUUACAACACCCGAAGUCGGUGAGGUAACC